CACCUAGCCUCCAGACAGACACGGCCUCCCCCUUACCCUCCCCCUCCGUCACAGAGAGAAGACGCCCGCAGGGCAGCUCCGUCCGCCUGACGGAGCACCCGAUCAGGCCGUAUCGAUUUCCAUAUUUUGGGGGCAGAAGAUUCACGGCGGCCGGCUGGAGGGCCCCUCUCCAUUACAUCAGCCGCCGCGGUCGAGCCCCUGUCACCGGGAGCCGGCAGCGCGGCGCUCUGCAUCACCACCCCCGUCACCCGGGCGCACCCACCCCACCGUGCUUUAUGGCUCUGUCUAUGGGACUCUGUCAGAUGUGCGCUAGCACACAACCCAAAUUAACCAUUGCGUUUUGUGGCCUAGUAGUAUAUUAUUCUAUCCGUCCAUUAUCUGUACCUGCUUAUCCUGGGCAGGGUCGAGGGGGGUGCUGGAUCCUAUCCCAGCGUGCAUUGGGUAAGAGGCGGGAAUAUACCCUAGAUGUGCAUUGGGUGAGAGGCGGGAAUACACCCUGGACAGGCUGCCAAUCUAUCGCAGGGCACACACACCAUUCACUCAAGUAUAUUAUAGUUUCUAUAGUUUAUUUCAUGACAAUGCAAGCAAAUUGGAAUGCUACAGGCAGAACAGAGGCUAGUAUUCCCAUGGUUGUUGAGGGCAGAGUAAACAGGUACGCAUAUUUGAAGGGAAAUGGGGUAAAUGCAGAACCACCAUGGAGAUGAUUGUAGAAAUUGGAGCCCUGCACCACUGAAACCAUUUUUUAUGAAUUCACAACUAGUGCAAUUCUAUGGUUAUUCUGUGGGGUUAUGUUUAGAAGUUUAUACGAAAUGACCUAUUUAGCAGGCAGUGGAUAUCAGAGUGUUUUCAAGAAAUAUUUUUGCAGCCUGAUUUUUUUAAAGAUCCAACAUGCUUCCUACACUCUCUCCAUUUCUGUGUCCCUCUUACUUCUUAUGUGAAGCCCAUACUCCAAGGGUUUUUAAUGACUGAGUGAGAGAGAGACAGAGAUAGAGAAAAAGUAAAAGACAAAGAGAGAGAAGAUGAGAAAGAAAGAGAUCGGGAGUCUGAUGAUGGAUCCUUGCAUUAGGCCAGUCGACCCUGAUGGUUCGAGGCCCGUGAAAUAUGGGGAGAAACGAGGGUGUGCUUAUGAUCCAUCACCGUGGCGACGGCAACUCGGCCUGACAGGUCAUCGAUUGGGCCCCGGUGAGAGCCUAACAAGGACAAAGCGACGGAUUCGCUGUGCCUCGUCCCCGCCCGCUGCCACAGUCCCAUGAGCACUCACCACCAUCAUGUGUCACAGUCACUGAAACAAGUGUCACAGUAAAGUCACAAGGGCCACAGCUUCCUCCUUGGGGCUGGUAGCUGUCAGCUGGUCCACGGAACACCUGGAGCCUCAUGCAGCACGGAGGUGCCUGGCCUACAGGCCUCCUACACUCCGGUGCUAUUGGUGUCCACCAACUUCACGCUGCGGGAGCUCAUGGCAAGUUCCCUUGUCCCAUUCUCCUCCUUCCGCA